ACUCCUACGGGAGGCAGCAGUGGGGAAUAUUGCACAAUGGGCGAAAGCCUGAUGCAGCAACGCCGCGUGAGCGAUGAAGGCCUUCGGGUCGUAAAGCUCUGUCCUAUGGGAAGAUAAUGACGGUACCAUAGGAGGAAGCCCCGGCUAACUACGUGCCAGCAGCCGCGGUAAUACGUAGGGGGCAAGCGUUAUCCGGAAUUACUGGGCGUAAAGGGUGCGUAGGCGGUUUAUCAAGUCAGGGGUGAAAGGCUACGGCUCAACCGUAGUGAGCCUCUGAAACUGGUGAACUUGAGUGUAGGAGAGGAAAGUGGAAUUCCCAGUGUAGCGGUGAAAUGCGUAGAUAUUGGGAGGAACACCAGUGGCGAAGGCGACUUUCUGGACUACAACUGACGCUGAGGCACGAAAGCGUGGGGAGCAAACAGGAUUAGAUACCCUGGUAGUC
rnacentral:rRNA from 1 species